GAGGGAAUAGCUCAGUGGUCGAGCGCGUGCUUAGCAUGCAUAAGGUCCUGGGUUCAAUCCCCAGCACCUCCA
rnacentral:tRNA from 1 species